ACCAAUGCAGCCCAGGCACACUCCCACCUCUCUCCUAUCUGAACUUUUGAACUUUUGAAAUUGAAAGAACAAACUCAAGAAAGAACGCUAGCCACCCAGUCCCGUCGCCCGCAUCCACCGCAGCCCCGCAGCACCGCAGCCACCAAGCCCCCCGCAGCCCCGUUGCGUGUAUAGGCAUCGCGUGUAGAAACUCCGUCACCGUCGCAGGAAGCUCCGUCGCCGUCUUAGGAAGCUCCGUCGUCGUCGUAGGAAGCUCCCUCGCCGUCGGGCGGAAGCUCUAUGGCCGUCGCCGUCUCAUCUAUUCGAGGGCUCUCUCUCUUAUCGCCGGUGUCGCCGUCUCUCCCCUUCAUCCUUGUCGCCGACGGCUAAGAUGACUUUUCAGCAAUUUUUGAGGAGGAAACGCCAAUCUCACUUUCAUGUUUAUUGACCGGUCCAGUUCUCGCAACCUUGGUCGGAACCAACAUAGCCUCAGACCCUUUUGUUUAGUCCCUCGCCUCACCACACUUCAACCCUAAUUUCCUCUUCCAAUCUUCCUCCUACUCCAACGAAGAGCAGCCGCCACCAUCACCGUAUCCACUCCUCACCGUGGGUCGUCGGUGUGUCUCCCCUCCUCGCCCUGUUCCUCAUCGUUUCUGGCUGUCACCUCUUCUAUGCUUCCGUCAGUCUUCCUGACUUCAUCGCUGGCACUAGAAUUGAGGAAAUCACAGUUGCAGUUUGUAUCAAGCUGUCCAAAUAUUGUUUCACAAAGGCUUAUAUGGAGAAAGGCCUUCAGCAAAAAGUUGAAACGAAAGCAAAGGGAGCGCAUGCAACCGAAAAUGGAUAUAGACUAUCAGAAUCUUUUUACAAGGAUAGUCGGAUUAAUGACAUCUAUUUGAUGAUCCAACUUGAUAAUCUUGGCCAUGCAGAGGAAGCGAAAUUCAUUUGACCCAAAAGACAGGAAACUUAUGGAAGGGUUCUGUAUAAACAUGAACCUUACGGACGUUAAUCAAGGGGAUUUGUGAGGAAGGUCGGAUAGAAGAAGUCAUUGAAGUGCUGCAAAUACUAGAGCAAAAACCAACUAAAGUCCAACUUAAUAAUCUACAGCAUCGUUGUUGAUGCAUUAUGCAAAAUUGGGCUUGGCCGAAGAUUUGAUUUCAAGAAUGACUGCAUGGAGAAUUUCUCUCAAUAUGUUCAUUUAUUUUUCUUUGAUUUAUACUGUGGUGAUAAUAAAUCAUGAGCAACUGUUAAAUUGUUGAGAAAAAUGAUGAAAUGCAACAUCAAGCCAAAUGAAUAUACAUUAAGUAUAUUAAUGGAUGCUUUGUAUAGAAGAGGAAGAGUUGCAGAAGCUCAAAAAGUACUUAGUAUGAUGUUGAAAUAAGGCUAUAUGCCUAAUGUUGUGAUUUAUAGUAUAUUAAUUGAUGAUUACUUCUUAAUUAAGGAAGUGAAUGAGGCAGAAAAGUUGUUUGACAAGAUGAUCAGAGAAGGUUUGGCGUCCGAUGUUCAGAGUUGCUACAUUAUGAUUAAUGAUUAUUACAGGAACAAAAAGAUAGACCAAGCCAUUAGUCUCUUUAAAAAGAUUGCUUACCAAAGGUGUAGCUCAUGAUAUUAUAAAGUAUAAUUUUUUAAUUUGUGGUUUAUGCAAAUUAGGGAUGCUUUCAUCAGUCAAAACUCUUCUUGAUGAGAUGGAAGAAAGGAGACAAUUCCUUAAUUUAAUCACUUGUUGCAUACUGAUAGCUUUUUGCAUAAACCAACGUUUGAUGAAGCAAUUGUACUAUUUCACAAAAUUUAUAAUAACAAAGAGAGUACUCCAUAUCUGUCCAUGUGCAGUACUCUUCUUGAUGAGAUGGAAGAAAGGGAUGCAAAAUAGUUUUUUGAGGGUCUUUUGGCCAAAAAUUGUUGUAAUAUUGAUAUCUAUAAUAUUAUGAUAUAUGAGCUUACCAAAAAGGGGUUUAUUGAUGAAGCAAUGACCUUAGUUUCUAAGAUGAAAGGCAAUAGUUGCCUUCCAAAUUUUGAUAGUUAUAAUUUAAUAAUUAUGGUUUUUUUCAUAGAAAUAUGAACGAGGAAGCAUGGAAGCUUCUGCGUGAAAUUCAGGGUGAAGGUCUUCUUAGCAAGAUUUGUUACAAAGUUAAUUGAAAAGAAUACAUUAUAUAUCCACCCGACCAGAACUUUUUGUUCUCGUUCUUGUUUAGGAUUCCAAGAUUAUGACUCCCCGUGGGGUGGGAAAUAUUCUUGGAUGGAAUGUAAUUUAUUGAAUUUAUUACGAGUAAUUGUGAAUUCUUUUUUAUUUUGUGAUAUUUUUUAGAUGAAAAUUACAAAAUAGUUAUUUUCUAGUGGUGCUUUUACUCACUUUUUUUUACCUUUGAUGAGUGAGAUCAAGGGCCGUUUCACACGCAUAAAAUACUAAUUAUUUUAAAACAAGAAAUUGACUCAUGGCUUGAUCAUUGGAACUAAACACUACAUAAGAAUUUGAUUAUGUGUAUCAUAUAACUAACUUUGUAAGUUGUUUUUCAAGUCAGAGUUUCAAUCCAAAUGUUGUUCUUUUUUCUAUUGAUACUGAUGGGAAGAAUCGCUAAAGGAAAUAUUGUACAUGCUAUGUAUAAUGUAUUGGCUUUGUUGAACUCUCAUUUGGGUGCAGAUUGAAU